rnacentral:rRNA from 1 species
AGUGAACGCUGGCGGUAGGCCUUACACAUGCAAGUCGAACGGCAGCACAGUAAGAGCUUGCUCUUACGGGUGGCGAGUGGCGGACGGGUGAGGAAUACAUCGGAAUCUACUUUUUCGUGGGGGAUAACGUAGGGAAACUUACGCUAAUACCGCAUACGACCUACGGGUGAAAGCAGGGGAUCUUCGGACCUUGCGCGAAUGAAUGAGCCGAUGUCGGACUAGCUAGUUGGCGGGGUAAAGGCCCACCAAGGCGACGAUCCGUAGCUGGUCUGAGAGGAUGAUCGGCCACACUGGAACUGGGACGCGGUCCAGGCUCCUACGGGAGGCAGCAGUGGGCAAUAUUGGACAGUGGGCGCAAGCCUGAUCCAGCCAUCCCGCGUGGGUGACGAAGGCCUUCGGGUUGUAAAGCCCUUUUGUUGGGAAAGAAAAGCAGCAGGUUAAUACCCCGCUGUUCUGACGGUACCCAAAGAAUAAGCACCGGCUAACUUCGUG